CGCGGCCUAUCAGCUUGUUGGUGGGGUAAUGGCCUACCAAGGCGACGACGGGUAGCCGGCCUGAGAGGGUGACCGGCCACACUGGGACUGAGACACGGCCCAGACUCCUACGGGAGGCAGCAGUGGGGAAUAUUGCACAAUGGGCGAAAGCCUGAUGCAGCGACGCCGCGUGAGGGAUGACGGCCUUCGGGUUGUAAACCUCUUUCAGUAGGGAAGAAGCGAAAGUGACGGUACCUGCAGAAGAAGCGCCGGCUAACUACGUGCCAGCAGCCGCGGUAAUACGUAGGGCGCAAGCGUUAUCCGGAAUUAUUGGGCGUAAAGAGCUCGUAGGCGGUUUGUCGCGUCUGCUGUGAAAGACCGGGGCUCAACUCCGGUUCUGCAGUGGGUACGGGCAGACUAGAGUGAUGUAGGGGAGACUGGAAUUCCUGGUGUAGCUGUGAAAUGCGCGGAUAUCAGGAGGAACACCGAUGGCGAAGGCAGGUCUCUGGGCAUUAACUGACGCUGAGGAGCGAAAGCAUGGGGAGCGAACAGGAUUAGAUACCCUGGUAGUCCAUGCCGUAAACGUUGGGCACUAGGUGUGGGGGACAUUCCACGUUUUCCGCGCCGUAGCUAACGCAUUAAGUGCCCCGCCUGGGGAGUACGG
rnacentral:rRNA from 1 species